AUGCAAAUCAAUGCGGGGGAGGGCGUGAAAAGCGCUUUCCUCACGACUUCCGCAAUCGGACCACGAGAGCAGAGCAAAAUGAGAGGUAGCUCAGGCGCCAGCAGCGGAAGAGGCGGAGCGUGGCCGGAAGUGGGCGGUGGCCGGUCUGGCCCUCACUGUCGGAAUCAGGCGACGGAAGGACUUUUCCCAUUCGGGUUCGCAUUCACGACAGAAGAGCCCGGCGGGGGAAUGCCCGAGGAGGAGAGCGGGCCCUGCGGAGCAGCCCUGCCCAGUCCUGCCGCGGCUUCCCUGGGAGACAGCGGGGAAACGCCGGGAGGCUCUGGGGCUGCAGGAGGGAUGAGCCCAGUGGGACCCCGGGAAAGGUGGCUGCCUGGAGGGCGAUGCAGGGGGAAUGACGCAAGUGAAGACCCUGAGAUGAAAUACUUUCCUUCUUUUAAUGAUUGAAUUGAGUCCAUUUAUAUUCAUCGUAACCAGUUUUCUUUCCUCCAUUUUAGAUUUUGUAAGAGGGACUUGUUGCUCUGGUGGAUCUUAUUUCUCUUUGUUCUCUGGGCACCCCGCCUACUGCGCCUUCUUCUUUUUCCUUUUCUUUUUCAAUUACUGCUAUCAACUCCUUUUGAGGUUCAAUCAGGGGCUCUUCUUUUCUUGUAUCUUCCUCCUUUCCUCUAAUAUAUUCAUAAUAAAAUGAUUCACUUUUCAACCGUGUCAAUUUUAUGUCUUUGUUCCCGCCAUGUAAACAGAAGGCCUUCUGGUAUCAGCCAUCUAUAAUUUAUUAUAAUUUAUUUUCUAAGCAGUUCUUUGGUUAGAAAGAGGUAUUCUCUCCUCGUCUCCCUUACUCUUCUUGGUACCUGUUUCAGCACCACAAUUUAUUUGUCUUUAUACCUUAAUGUCUUUUCUCUUGUCAUUUGCAAAAUUUGUGUUUUAAUAAUUUUCUUAGUAAAUCUAAUAUGGACUUCUCUUGGUAGCUUAUUCCUCAUUGCAUAUCUUGUAUGUACACGAAACACUUCAUCCAUUCCAUCCAUCAUUUUCUCUUUCGUUAUUUCUAGUGUUUCUGCCAAUAUUUCUAUCAUUUUUCCAACGAGGUUUUCACCCUUUUCUUCCUCCACAUUUUGAAAUCUCAAGUAAAAUUCUGAUCUAUCCAUCUCUCCUCUCAAUGAUUCAAUCCUGUCUUUUUCAACUUCACUCAAUCUGAUAUUGAUAUUUCCAAUUUCCUUAUCUCUUUGUUCGUCCUUGCUCUUCAAUUUUCUUAAUCUUUAAUCUUAUUUUUCUGUUGAAUAUUUUCAACUUUUUCAUCCGUCUUAUCUAUUUUCUGCUGAAUUUUCUCCACCUUUUGAUUUGUCUGUUCAAUUUUUUGGGAGAUAUUCUCAUUACUCUUUUCAACAUUUUCUACUUUUGUCUGUAGAAUUUGAAUUCCUUGCAAAAUCUUCUGUAAUGUAUCCUCCUUCUCUUUUUCCUUUUCCUGUUGCAACAUUGCCUGUAUUGAUCGCUGACCUCCGGAUGGUGAAGAAGCAGGAGUUGUUGAUUGAGAGCUUG
rnacentral:lncRNA from 1 species